AGCGAACGCUGGCGGCAGGCCUAACACAUGCAAGUCGAACGAACUCUUCGGAGUUAGUGGCGGACGGGUGAGUAACACGUGGGAACGUGCCUUUUGGUUCGGAAUAACUCAGGGAAACUUGUGCUAAUACCGAAUGUGCCCAUCGGGGGAAAGAUUUAUCGCCAUUAGAGCGGCCCGCGUCUGAUUAGCUAGUUGGUGAGGUAACGGCUCACCAAGGCGACGAUCAGUAGCUGGUCUGAGAGGAUGACCAGCCACACUGGGACUGAGACACGGCCCAGACUCCUACGGGAGGCAGCAGUGGGGAAUCUUGCGCAAUGGGCGAAAGCCUGACGCAGCCAUGCCGCGUGAAUGAUGAAGGUCUUAGGAUUGUAAAAUUCCUUCACCGGGGACGAUAAUGACGGUACCCGGAGAAGAAGCCCCGGCUAACUUCGUG
rnacentral:rRNA from 1 species